UCUCACGCGGAAGCACUUCCGGUAUGUUAUUUGUGUCACCUGACGCACUUUCUGUGUUUUGCGAUGUUUAGCAGAAACAUUAAAAUGUAAUUUAAUGUCGUAUUUAUGUAUUUUACAGCGGGCAAGAAAAUGAUUUAACGUAAAUUCAAUGUGACGUUGUUACUUUUCUACAGAAACGCAUUAUCCCCAGAGGACGUGAACAACUAAAGUUGAACGUCACGUGCGUCAUCUCAAAGUAACGAUAUUUAACAUAAACACAGCCUGCAGUACAAUCUCCUCGUUCCUGCCUCCUUGCACUGUAGCUCCGGCAGCUCUUCAAUGGAUACGAUCUCCUCCAAGGAAAUAACACAUGUCAAUACGACACUUCAAUAAAGACCGAGGUAACCUGGCUCCAUCAGUUACCUGAAGAGACGCUAUAAGCAGGAGUACCACGUUGCACCAUACAUUCAUCUUUCUACCUUUGGAGUUUGGAUCUUUCGCAACGAAACGGUGCAGCUACAGCGCUCCGACC